rnacentral:rRNA from 1 species
CCUACGGGAUGCUGCAGUGGGGGAUAUUGCACAAUGGGGGGAACCCUGAUGCAGCGACGCCGCGUGGGUGAAGGAGCGUUUCGGCGCGUAAAGCCCUAUCGGCAGGGAAGAAGAUGACGGUACCUGACCAAGAAGCCCCGGCUAACUACGUGCCAGCAGCCGCGGUAAUACGUAGGGGGCAAGCGUUAUCCGGAUGUACUGGGUGGAAAGGGGGCGCAGACGGCAAUGCAAGCCAGGAGUGAAAGCCCGGGGCCCAACCCCGGGACUGCCCUUGGAACUGCAUGGCUGGAGUACAGGAGGGGCAGGCGGAAUGCCUAGUGUAGCGGUGAAAUGCGUAGAUAUUAGGAGGAACACCGGUGGCGAAGGCGGCCUGCUGGACUGUGACUGACGUUGAGGCCCGAAGGCGUGGGGAGCAAACAGGAUUAGAUACCCUAGUAGUC